rnacentral:rRNA from 1 species
GACGAACGCUGGCGGCGUGCUUAACACAUGCAAGUCGAACGGACAGGCCCUGCUUUUGUUGGUUGCUCGUUUGGCGAACGGGUGAGUAACACGUGUGUAACCUGCCCUUGUCUUUGUGAUAACUUCUGGAAACUGGGGCUAAUACCCGAUAUGAGCUCCUGCUGCAUGGUGGGGGUUGGUAAAUUUCGGCGGUUGGGGCUCGUCUGGAGGCUUAUCAGCUUGUUGGUGGGGUAGUGGCUUACCAAGGGUUUGACGGGUAGCCGGCCUGAGAGGGGGAACGGCGACAAGGGGACUGAGAGACGGCCCAGACGGGAACGGGAGGCAGCAGUGGGGAAUAUGGCACAAUGGGCGGAAGCCAGAGGCAGCAACGCCGCGUGCGGGAUGACGGCCUUCGGGUGGUAAACCGAUGUCGAAGGAGACGAAGAGUGAGUGACGGUAAUGGGUAAAGAAGCACCGGCUAACUACGUG